GGGAUAAAAGAGGAGGCCGGAAGGACUCGCGAAAUGGUGGGAACAGAGGGAGAACUCUGAAGACAUUGCUGUUUGGACUCGUGCUGCUCGUAGAGUUUCUGCUAAAGGAGGACUCCGAAGGCACAAGAAAAAAGCUGGACGCAUUGAACGGUCCACUUCUUGCAUUUUGGAGCGCGAUAAUAACGAUAAUAACGGUAACGAAAAGUCCCCCGCUAAUCCCCUCGCCAUAAACCAAUGGCUUCGAAAGAACUCUGGACUGGUUUUAACGAUGCCUGCCGGACGCCGUGAAUCGGCACUUUUCACGGUGCUCAUUAUCGAUGGUGAGCCUCCUUUUGCCUGAAGUACGACUUGGAGUUUUACGGACUUGGUUUUUAUGUAAUUGAACUGUGAUGUUGAUAAACCUGAGGACUAUUUAAUUUUUAAUGCCAAUUGUGGCAGCUUUUUGGAUUUCUCUUGGGAUUCCUUUUUAAUCGUGCCUUUAAAGGACUGACUGAAAUUCUUUAUUCCUCUGCAUAUGUGGCGAAAUGUCCUCCACCGGACCAGAAUGCACUGGUUUCAAGGUUCGCCAUCUUGGUGCGGUCGAAUUGUUCAUAUCGCGUGUGACUCACGCCUGUCGAAAGGCGCCAAAAAUUGCAUAAGGAGAUGAGGAGGCUGCGGCAAACGCGGAGUGGAGCACCGUAAAGAGCUCGCGUAUGUUUUACUGGAAUAGAACCGUCUUGGAGGGGACUGAUGGGUAGAGGGCGCAGGUCUCCAUGACUGGGGGUGUGCCCCCCAAUACCGACGACCACUUAAACAUUCCGUGGACAUACUGGAUAUUCAAAUCUGUAAACGAAUUUAUUCAGUGCCUGCACUUGCUGCUAAACAAAUUGUAAAACUAAGUUUAUUUACUAGAAGUUUUUAAAAACCCUGGUACCAGUGCUGCCAGAGGUUGCAGGCUGAGGGGGGCUGCCUUGAGUUCUAGGGUGAGUUGUCAUUGCCUUUAAUGCGCAGAUUUGUAUGUAGCAGAGUCUUUAUACGUAAAGUCUAGUUAAAGGCUUACUAAAAAUUUCCUGACAGGCUCAUGUUCUCCCCCGCUCAUUUUAUAUGUAAUUUUAAUGAACUUUGCCUACUCAUUUAAUAGUGACCACUUUUGAAAUGUGGUUAUGUCCCCUAUUCCAGUCAGCUGAGCUGCUGGGGGAGAUGCAAGCCUUUGUCCUCGGAGUGGUGGUGGCUCACUAAUUUAAAUGGCUCUCCAUUGUUGCUACUCAUGGGGGUGCUGCCAGUAGGCCCUCUCGUCAAGGUGACAUGCCUGCCUAUAGCCUCUCCCUCUCUCUUUUUCUUUGCAAACCUAUUUUGCAGUUUUACUCUAACAUGAGAUUUUAGGGUGUUUGUACAGUCUUGAGUGUGAUAGUUGUAUUGGUCAUGCUUCUCAACAGCUGUUCAGGUGUAGGACACUCUCCUCAAACUCCUUUCAAGCAUUCUACUGCUGUUGCCUGACCUUCCUAAUUGCUGUUGGCUCCUUGACCAUGACAUUCUGCUGGGGCCACUGGCAUGAGAAGAUCGCACAGAGAUGGAGAAGCAGUCCACUGUCCUACAAGAGGAUGGCACCACUUGGCU